AGCCCUGAAGACAAGGGGUAACACUCCAAAAUAUGGACUCAUUUUCCACUCCACCUUCAUUGGCCGAGCAGCUGCCAAGAACAAAGGCCGCAUCUCCCGAUACCUGGCAAACAAAUGCAGUAUUGCCUCACGAAUCGAUUGCUUCUCUGAGGUGCCCACGAGUGUAUUUGGCGAGAAGCUUCGAGAACAAGUUGAAGAGCGACUGUCCUUCUAUGAGACUGGAGAGAUACCACGAAAGAAUCUGGAUGUCAUGAAGGAAGCAAUGGUUCAGGCAGAGGAAGCGGCUGCUGAGAUUACUAGGAAGCUGGAGAAACAGGAGAAGAAACGCUUAAAGAAGGAAAAGAAACGGCUGGCUGCACUUGCCCUUGCAUCUUCAGAAAACAGCAGUAGUACUCCAGAGGAGUGUGAGGUCAGUAGGCAGCACGGCUCCGGCAGAGAUCCUAGGUUGUAGGAUUUUCAACAGCAGAACAAAGGAUGUGCUGCAUAAGCUGUGGUCUUGAGUCCAGGCUCUUGGACUGAAACAAGGACCUGAAACAUCUAAAACUACCUCUUGAUUCUAUAGGAAGGAGAUAGGUGCUGAACUUGCUCAAGAGCCCAGAGAGCUGGUUGUAGCUCACACCCAUUCCCUGGGCAUGUGUG
rnacentral:sRNA from 1 species